rnacentral:rRNA from 1 species
UGGGGAAUUUUGGACAAUGGGCGCAAGCCUGAUCCAGCCAUUCCGCGUGCAGGACGAAGGCCUUCGGGUUGUAAACUGCUUUUGUACGGAACGAAAAGCCCUUUUCUAAUACAGAAGGCUAAUGACGGUACCGUAAGAAUAAGCACCGGCUAACUACGUGCCAGCAGCCGCGGUAAUACGUAGGGUGCGAGCGUUAAUCGGAAUUACUGGGCGUAAAGCGUGCGCAGGCGGUUUUGUAAGACAGAGGUGAAAUCCCCGGGCUCAACCUGGGAAUUGCCUUUGUGCAUGAAAGGCUUGAGUGCGGCAGGGGGGGAUGGAACUCCGCGUGUAGCAGUGAAAUACGUAGAUAUGCGGAGGAACACCGAUGGCGAAGGCAGUCCCCUGGGCCUGCACUGACGCUCAUGCACGAAAGCGUGGGGAGCAAACA